rnacentral:snRNA from 1 species
GGAUGUAAGGACGAUGUGGCUGCGACAGCUGUCACCCCACUGAUCGCCAGGGUUGAUUUGGCUGAUCUGGCUGGCUAGGCGGGUGUCCCCUUCCUCCCUCACCACUCCAUGUGUGUCCCUCCCAAAGCUCUCAAAGAGGAUGGCCUUCCCCAAAAAGGUCUUCGGAAAAGGGUAUACCAGUAGCUACGCUUCCCUACUAGAACCUCCAAACAAGCUCUCAAGAAAGUAAAUUGUUAGCCAAAUAUUAGAGAAAUGUAUAAGACAUAUGAACCUCUUUUGUGAGAAUACAGUUCUCUUCAA